rnacentral:tRNA from 1 species
GCCCAGGUGGCGUAAUGGUAGCCGCACAGGACUUAAAAUCCUGCGACUUCGGUCGUGCGGGUUCGAGUCCCGCCCUGGGCA